CUUGUGAGACGCCGGCCCGUGUGUGAGUGAGAUCUCCGAAAUGCUAAUGUGGCCGUGCGGCAGAAUGCAGAUGAGUGCGUCACUCCGUCCUCUGAGCGGUUACGUCGGAUGAAUAAUUGAGGCGUAGUGCGAGGGAGAUGGAGCGCCCUGGCCACACUAAUGGGGUUAUUUUAUUUGCAGAAUCACGCCUUGUGCUUUCUGCUAUGGAAAUGAGAACGGCCCCCGGAGUAAUUGAACGCCGCUCCGGCAAUCAGUCCGCUUCCCCAACGCCGCAUUGUCUCAAGGUGGAUCACAACACGCCCCACGGGGGGGUCGAUGGCGGCGGUCGGAAUCAAACCCUCGACGAAAAAUACAAAUAAGAAUGAAUGGGGGACGCGUACCAGUGAGGCCCCAUCCUUACCGCAGCGGCCAGGGCGGCGGCAGCGGCGCACUUCUGAUGCUUCCCCUGGAUGCCAGACCUCCUCAGAGGGUCAGCAGAGCCACGCCGGGGGGCCUCCGGGCACCGACAUGCGCUGGAGGAGCCCAUCGAGCCCGGACGAUGGGAGCCAACGCCGUCGCCGUCGCCGUGCCGACGCCGACAGAGAUCCGCUCAACUUGGAGAGCCGACAGCGCCGCCAUAGGAGAUCCGAAGCUGCGUUUAAUAAUUGAUUCAUUAAUCAUCUAUAAGUCCAUUAAAUCAGAGGCUUCCUCUGGAAUUCUAAUCGCCCAGCCCCGG
ensembl:lncRNA